AUUGAACGCUGGCGGCAGGCCUAACACAUGCAAGUCGAACGAGUGGCGGACGGGUGAGUAAUGUCUGGGAAACUGCCUGAUGGAGGGGGAUAAAUACUGGAAACGGUAGCUAAUACCGCAUACCAUCGGAUGUGCCCAGAUGGGAUUAGCUAGUAGGUGGGGUAAAGGCUCACCUAGGCGACGAUCCCUAGCUGGUCUGAGAGGAUGACCAGCCCAACUGGAACGGAUACACGGUCCAGACUCCGACGGGAGGCAGCAGUGGGGAAUAUUGCACGAUGGGCGCAAGCCUGAUGCAGCCAUGCCGCGUGUAUGAAUAAGGCCUUCGGGUUGUAAAGUACUUUCAGCUGGGAGGCGUUACCCGCAGAAGAAGCACCGGCGAACUCCGUGCCAGCAGCCGCGGUAAUUC
rnacentral:rRNA from 1 species